GCCCCCAUAGCUCAGCGGAUAGAGCGUUGGCCUCCGGAGCCAAAGGCCCGUGUUCGCGCCACGCUGGGGGUA
rnacentral:tRNA from 1 species